rfam:Buceros rhinoceros silvestris contig62458, whole genome shotgun sequence.
CCUCCCGUUCUUGGCAGGCCCCGGCCACCCUGUGCCCGGGUCUGUGAUAUCUGGAGGUAGAGCAGUGGCUCUUUCACAGGCACCCCCUUGUCAUGGGGAAAGAGCUUGCAUGCCCUUGUGAGGUUGAGAGCUGUGCUGGUGGUGGCAUAUGC